AGGACGAACGCUGGCGGCGCGCUUAAUACAUGCAAGUCGAGCGAGAACCAGGGCUUCGGCCCUGGGGACAGCGGCGAACGGGUGAGUAACACGUGGGUAAUCAACCCCCGACACCGGGAUAGCCCAGGGAAACUUGGAUUAAUACCGGAUGCUCCAUCUGGCUUUCGAGCCGGCUGGAAAAGGGUAGCUUCGGCCUCCGGUCGGGGACGAGCCCGCGGCGGAUUAGCUUGUUGGUGAGGUAAAGGCUCACCAAGGCGACGAUCCGUAGCUGGUCUGAGAGGAUGAUCAGCCUCACUGGGACUGAGACACGGCCCAGACUCCUACGGGAGGCAGCAGUGGGGAAUAUUGGACAAUGGGCGCAAGCCUGAUCCAGCCAUGCCGCGUGGAUGAUGAAGGCCUUAGGUGUAAAGUCCUUUCGACGGGAAGAUAAUGACGGUACCCGUAGAAGAACGCCCCGGCUAACUUCGUGCCAGCAGCCGC
rnacentral:rRNA from 1 species